CAAGGCUUGACAUCUACAGAAUCCUAAAGAGAUUUGGGAGUGCCCUUCGGGGAACUGUAAGACAGGUGGUGCAUGGUUGUCGUCAGCUCGUGUCGUGAGAUGUUGGGUUAAGUCCCGCAACGAGCGCAACCCCUAUAUUCAGUUACCAGCACUUCGGGUGGGGACUCUGGAUAGACUGCCGGUGACAAACCGGAGGAAGGUGGGGAUGACGUCAAAUCAUCAUGCCCCUUAUGUCUUGGGCUACACACGUGCUACAAUGGGCAGUACAGACGGACGCGAAGCCGUGAGGUGAAGCAAAUCCGAGAAAGCUGUUCGUAGUUCGGAUUGCAGGCUGCAACUCGCCUGCAUGAAGUCGGAAUCGCUAGUAAUCGCAGGUCAGCACACUGCGGUGAAUACGUUCCC
rnacentral:rRNA from 1 species